UCAUGCAAUUAAAAUUGCCUC
rnacentral:piRNA from 1 species